CAAUAGAAAAGGAUGUAGUAAUAUAUCUAUUUAUGAGUAGUAAAACCUUUGAAACUUGGCUUUAAAAUGAUUUUUCUAUCUCCCUAGGUAAUAGCAAUGCUCAAAAAUAUCUCCACUCUCCAUUAGAGAUGGGCAACAGGCCGGCGCCCAUAACACAGUCCGGCCUGGCACCAGACAGACCGUGCUAGGCACGGCUCGUCAGCUAC
rnacentral:lncRNA from 1 species